rnacentral:misc_RNA from 1 species
CCGAGUUUACAACUCCCAAACCCCUGUGAACAUACCUUAACGUUGCUUCGGCGGACAACCCUCGCCUUACCGCGAGGGCCCGCCAGAGGACCCAAACCCAACCUUUAUUUUUACCUUUACCUACAUCUCUGAGUGGAUUUUAUAAAUCAAAUCA